rnacentral:rRNA from 1 species
UACGUAGGUGGCAAGCGUUGUCCGGAUUUAUUGGGUUUAAAGGGUGCGUAGGCGGCCCUGUAAGUCAGUGCUGAAAUAUCCCGGCUUAACCGGGAGGGUGGCAUUGAUGACUGCGGGGCUAGAGUACAGAUGAGGUAGGCGGAAUUGACGGUGUAGCGGUGAAAUGCUUAGAUAUCGUCAAGAACACCUAUAGCGAAGGCAGCUUACUAGGCUGUAACUGACGCUGAGGCACGAAAAGUGUGGGGGAUCAAACAGG